AGAGUUUGAUCCUGGCUCAGGACGAACGCUGGCGGCGUGCCUAAUACAUGCAAGUCGAGCGGACAGAAGGGAGCUUGCUCCCGGAUGUUAGCGGCGGACGGGUGAGUAACACGUGGGUAACCUGCCUGUAAGACUGGGAUAACUCCGGGAAACCGGAGCUAAUACCGGAUAGUUCCUUGAACCGCAUGGUUCAAGGAUGAAAGACGGUUUCGGCUGUCACUUACAGAUGGACCCGCGGCGCAUUAGCUAGUUGGUGGGGUAAUGGCUCACCAAGGCGACGAUGCGUAGCCGACCUGAGAGGGUGAUCGGCCACACUGGGACUGAGACACGGCCCAGACUCCUACGGGAGGCAGCAGUAGGGAAUCUUCCGCAAUGGACGAAAGUCUGACGGAGCAACGCCGCGUGAGUGAUGAAGGUUUUCGGAUCGUAAAGCUCUGUUGUUAGGGAAGAACAAGUGCGAGAGUAACUGCUCGCACCUUGACGGUACCUAACCAGAAAGCCACGGCUAACUACGUGCCAGCAGCCGCGGUAAUACGUAGGUGGCAAGCGUUGUCCGGAAUUAUUGGGCGUAAAGGGCUCGCAGGCGGUUUCUUAAGUCUGAUGUGAAAGCCCCCGGCUCAACCGGGGAGGGUCAUUGGAAACUGGGAAACUUGAGUGCAGAAGAGGAGAGUGGAAUUCCACGUGUAGCGGUGAAAUGCGUAGAGAUGUGGAGGAACACCAGUGGCGAAGGCGACUCUCUGGUCUGUAACUGACGCUGAGGAGCGAAAGCGUGGGGAGCGAACAGGAUUAGAUACCCUGGUAGUCCACGCCGUAAACGAUGAGUGCUAAGUGUUAGGGGGUUUCCGCCCCUUAGUGCUGCAGCUAACGCAUUAAGCACUCCGCCUGGGGAGUACGGUCGCAAGACUGAAACUCAAAGGAAUUGACGGGGGCCCGCACAAGCGGUGGAGCAUGUGGUUUAAUUCGAAGCAACGCGAAGAACCUUACCAGGUCUUGACAUCCUCUGACAACCCUAGAGAUAGGGCUUUCCCUUCGGGGACAGAGUGACAGGUGGUGCAUGGUUGUCGUCAGCUCGUGUCGUGAGAUGUUGGGUUAAGUCCCGCAACGAGCGCAACCCUUGAUCUUAGUUGCCAGCAUUUAGUUGGGCACUCUAAGGUGACUGCCGGUGACAAACCGGAGGAAGGUGGGGAUGACGUCAAAUCAUCAUGCCCCUUAUGACCUGGGCUACACACGUGCUACAAUGGA
rnacentral:rRNA from 1 species